AUUUUUCGUUAUGAAAACCAGUAAAGCAAUUUAUACUUUUUUGAUACUGAUAAUCUUACACAGAUUAUAAGUAAUAUAAGCUAUUUAAAAAAUGGAUAUCAGUCACUAAAAGAAUAAUGAAUAGUCUUCGACCUCAAAAACAAAUAAAAUUUUGAGAAAAGUGGAUAAACAUAUUCGUUGAUUGAGUAUAUUCCAUUGAUGGCUGAAGGUUUCAUUUUAUUUAAUGAAUCAAACACUUGGAGUAGACAUGUUAAAAGAAGUUUGAAAGGUUGGGUGCAUGGAGCACUACUAACCAUUAGUCUCAUCUGCGUUUCUAUUUUUUUGGAGUUGAAGUUCACUACAAGAAUAAAAGUAUCCAAUCCGUACACUUCAGAGGUAAUCACGGUAAAUUAGAUAUUUCCUAUGUGAAAAUUACAAAGUAGAUUAUGUAUUCAUAUAUUGAUUUGAGGACGAUUUGAAUCUCGA